GGAGUUAAGAAAUGUAAGUGCGCUAAUAUCGCAUUUAUUUGACGAAGGCUCCAAAGGAAGCCACGGCUAACUCUGUGCCAGCAGCCGCGGUAAUACAGAGGUGGCAAGCGUUGUUCGGAAUUAUUGGGCGUAAAGAGCACGUAGGUGGGUUUGUAAGUCAGAUGUGAAAGCCUUCUGUUCAACGGAAGAAUUGCAUCUGAAACUGCAGGUCUUGAGUGUAGGAGGGGAGAG
rnacentral:rRNA from 1 species